rnacentral:tRNA from 1 species
GGAGGGUUGGCAGAAUGGCUAUUGCAGCGGUCUUGAAAACCGCCGUCCCGAAAGGGACUUCAGGGUUCGAAUCCCUGGCCCUCCG